CGGCAGGGGCCGGCAGCGGCCAGGAGGCUCCCGGGAGAGUGGGAGAGGGACUUUGUCACUCCGCUUGCAGGCUAGUGUCCCCACAAGCACUGCAGAACAUGCAGCUGAUGACUUCCUACAAAGUCCUUCGGGACAGGUGGAAGGAGCGAGUGGAACAAAACCGACAGUGGCUGAGGAAGGAAGAGGCGGAGCGCCGCGCUUCGGUGAUGAGCCGCCUCCGGAGCACAGAGCAGCAAGACCGUGCGCUGGGCGCUUACCACCAAAAUGGCUUUUAUGCCUGGAAAUAAAGGGGCUUUCCGA